AUGGCCUUGAUCUUGGGUUUGUUGCCACAGCUCUGCGGUGGAACUUCUAUUGAAGGGUCCUCGACCCACAGACCCAGAAGUGGAACACGUUAGAAAUGAAAAACGCUCGUUCCCGCCUCCUUUCGAGAUGGAGAGUUUAUGUCAACAUCAACACAUUCACUUAUUGCCUGCAAUCUGACGAGUUUCGCUGUUCCCGGUCAACUCCGGACGUAGGCGAUGCGGCCGUUUUAUAACUUCAGGAAUUUUGCCAUACAUUUAGCUGUUAUCCUGGCUAUUAUGGUCCACCAUUCUUUAGCCUUUUUCUGGCCUGAAGCAUAUCAUCAUCCAAUUUAUUACCGAAGAUUUGGAUUUCCAUCCAGACCUUUGAAGCAUGGACCUACACCAAAGUUCGACAAGGAUGUCCAAGACAGAAUUCGAUCUUUCAUCGAUCCCUUUUACAUUCCAACUACUCCAUCUUACGAAGACAUUCGACCAUAUUUCAGAGACAAAGGCAUUGAUUAUCCUGAUCUCACAGCUCUGCACCCGAAUGUCAUAGGAAGGUAGCACGGGCGUGGAUGAUGUCAUAAUAUGUUAUUUCAAUUUUAAUGAGCUUUUUGUUGUUAAUCAUAUUUGUUUUUAUAAUUAGGAUAUUGUACAGAAACUAAUAUAUUUUUAAUAAACUGUUACAAUGUUAG